rnacentral:lncRNA from 1 species
UUUAAGUUGCAUAUGUGUCAUGUGUGGAGAAGAACCCUCUAGCUAGUCCGUCAUUUAUCAUUUUACCUUAAUUUUGUUUUUUAUCAAUUCUGUAAUUUAAUUAAGUUUAAUUUACUUUUCAUCAAAACCAAACACCAUCCAUUAUUAAAUUAUAUUAUUUAGUUAGUUUUCUUUAUUGUUAGUCUUUUAAUUCAAUUUCCGUCCAUUUCAAUUCCUAGUGUCUAUUUUGAUUGUUUUUAUUAUUUUGAGUCAUUUUAAGUGUGUUUUGAAUUAUUAGAGUUUUUAGCCUAGUUUUGUGUCCUUGAGUCUUAUUUAAUAUUUUUAAAUUAAUUUAGAAUAGAUUAGCAAUCCCUCCUAAUCCCCGGCCUAGAACGAUACCCUACUUACAUCCAUACUACAACUGUCAAAAAGAGGGUUUAAUUUGUGUGUCAAGUAAUUCUCGCAUCAAAUUUUGGCGCCGUUGCCGGGGAUUAGUAACUUUGCUAAUCCUUUUAUUUUUGUUUUUGUUUAUGUUUAUAUUGGUGUUUGUGUAUUUUACUUUUGAUAUUUGAUUUAUUUUUCUUUCUUUGAUUUUAGAUUCAAAUGGAGCCGAGGGAAAUUUAAAGGAAAGAUGCGUCCGGCUAAAGACGUUAAAUCAAGCGCUUCUUGGGAGGCAACCCAAGCAUUCAACGAAAGGGAGACUUUGGAAUCGCUAACCCAAUCAGCUUUGCAUUCUUCCACCCUUAUCUUUACUGCUUUCAUUUUGUUUUGUUUAGUUAGUUGUGUUAUUUGGUUGAUUUCUGUGAGUUUGUAUUAUUUAGUUUAAGUGUGGGGGAAGGUUAACCAAAGUCUUUCUACUUUAAUUUACAUAUAUAUAAAAAAAAAAAAAAAAAAA